GCAGUGGGGAAUAUUGCACAAUGGGGGAAACCCUGAUGCAGCAACGCCGCGUGAAGGAUGACGGUUUUCGGAUUGUAAACUUCUUUUCUUAGUGACGAAGACAGUGACGGUAGCUAAGGAAUAAGCAUCGGCUAACUACGUGCCAGCAGCCGCGGUAAUACGUAGGAUGCAAGCGUUAUCCGGAUUUACUGGGUGUAAAGGGAGCGCAGGCGGGACUGCAAGUUGGAUGUGAAAUACCGUGGCUUAACCACGGAACUGCAUCCAAAACUGUAGUUCUUGAGUGAAGUAGAGGCAAGCGGAAUUCCGAGUGUAGCGGUGAAAUGCGUAGAUAUUCGGAGGAACACCAGUGGCGAAGGCGGCUUGCUGGGCUUUAACUGACGCUGAGGCUCGAAAGUGUGGGGAGCAAACAGGAUUAGAUACCCUGGUAGUCCACACUGUAAACGAUGAUAGCUAGGUGUGGGGGGUCUGACCCCUUCCGUGCCGGAGUUAACGCAAUAAGCUAUCCACCUGGGGAGUACGACCGCAAGGUUGAAACUCAAAGGAAUUGACGGGGGCCCGCACAAGCAGUGGAGUAUGUGGUUUAAUUCGACGCAACGCGAAGAACCUUACCAAGUCUUGACAUCCUGCGACGGUUCUGGAAACAGAACUUUCCUUCGGGACGCAGAGACAGGUGGUGCAUGGUUGUCGUCAGCUCGUGUCGUGAGAUGUUGGGUUAAGUCCCGCAACGAGCGCAACCCCUGCCAUUAGUUGCUACGCAAGAGCACUCUAAUGGGACCGCUACCGACAAGGUGGAGGAAGGUGGGGACGACGUCAAAUCAUCAUGCCCCUUAUGACCUGGGCUACACACGUAAUACAAUGGCCGUUAACAGAGGGAAGCAAAGCGGUGACGCAGAGCAAAACCCUAAAAACGGUCCCAGUUCGGACUGUAGGCUGCAACCCGCCUACACGAAGUUGGAAUUGCUAGUAAUCGCGGAUCAGCAUGCCGCGGUGAAUACGUUCCCGGGCCUUGUACACACCGCCCGUCACACCAUGGGAGUUUGUAACACCCGAAGUCAGUGACCCAACCGCAAGGAGGGAGCUGCCGAAGGUGGGAUAAGCGACUGGGGUGAAGUCGUAACAAGGUAGCCGUAGGAGAACCUGCGGCUG
rnacentral:rRNA from 1 species